UGGAACUACUCUACUGGACUACUGGACUUCCACCAAGGCUCUCUCAUCCAUGACUGAUUGUCUAAUCCUGUGUUCUCCAGGGGCUCCCAGACCAUGUGGAGAGGCACUGGAGCCAAUUCAUGGACCACUGCAGGGUCUACAGUGGAGACCAAGGUAAAAGACACCAGCUUGUAUUGGUGUGACCUGGAGUUAAGGAACAGAAAUGAGUGCCGACCUGCUUCUCCCUCCCUGCUGGAGUGGUCUGGGACCAAAUCUUCAUUAUCUCUGGGGUAUGCCUGUAUCAUUGGACUGUCUGAAGAAGAAAUCACAAGUAUA